rnacentral:rRNA from 1 species
AACGAACGCUGGCGGCAGGCUUAACACAUGCAAGUCGAGCGCCCCGCACGGGGAGCGGCAGACGGGUGAGUAACGCGUGGGAACAUACCCUUUGGUUCGGAAUAACUCAGGGAAACUUGAGCUAAUACCGGAUACGUCCGUAAGGAGAAAGAUUUAUCGCCAAAGGAUUGGCCCGCGUCCGAUUAGCUAGUUGGUGAGGUAACGGCUCACCAAGGCUACGAUCGGUAGCUGGUCUGAGAGGAUGAUCAGCCACAUUGGGACUGAGACACGGCCCAAACUCCUACGGGAGGCAGCAGUGGGGAAUAUUGGACAAUGGGCGCAAGCCUGAUCCAGCCAUGCCGCGUGAGUGAUGAAGGCCUUAGGGUUGUAAAGCUCUUUGUCCGGGAAGAUAAUGACUGUACCGGAAGAAUAAGCCCCGGCUAACUACGUGCCAGCAGCCGCGGUAAAGUAGACGUC